GGGUGAGUAAUAUAUAGGUAACAUGCCUCUUACUAAGGGAUAACAGAUGGAAACGUCUGCUAAUACCUUAUAUGCCUUUUGAGCAAAAAUUCGUAAAGGGAAAGAUUUAUUGGUAAGAGAUUGGCUUGUACGGUAUCAGUUAGUUGGUGAGGUAAUGGCUCACCAAGACAAUGACACCUAACUGGUUUGAGAGGAUGAUCAGUCACACUGGAACUGAGACACGGUCCAGACUCCUACGGGAGGCAGCAGUGGGGAAUAUUGCACAAUGGACGGAAGUCUGAUGCAGCAACGCCGCGUGGAGGAUGACACAUUUCGGUGCGUAAACUCCUUUUAUACAAGAAGAUAAUGACGGUAUUGUAUGAAUAAGCGCCGGCUAACUCCGUGCCAGCAGCCGCGGUAAUACGGAGGGCGCAAGCGUUACUCGGAAUCACUGGGCGUAAAGAGCGUGUAGGCGGAUUGAUAAGUUCGAAGUGAAAUCCAAUAGCUUAACUAUUGAACUGCUUUGAAAACUGUUGAUCUAGAGUGUGGGAGAGGUAGAUGGAAUUUCUGGUGUAGGGGUAAAAUCCGUAGAUAUCAGAAGGAAUACCGAUUGCGAAGGCGAUCUACUGGAACACAACUGACGCUGAGACGCGAAAGCGUGGGUAGCAAACGGGAUUAGAUACCCCGGUAGUCCACGCCCUAAACGAUGUACACUAGUUGUUGCCUUGCUAGACAAGGCAGUAAUGCACCUAACGGAUUAAGUGUACCGCCUGGGGAGUACGGUCGCAAGAUUAAAACUCAAAGGAA
rnacentral:rRNA from 1 species